UGGGGAAUAUUGCACAAUGGACGGAAGUCUGAUGCAGCAACGCCGCGUGCGGGAUGACGGCCUUCGGGUUGUAAACCGCUUUUUCUCAUGACGAAGUUUUUUGACGGUAGUGGGGGAAGAAGCACCGGCUAACUACGUGCCAGCAGCCGCGGUGAUACGUAGGGUGCGAGCGUUGUCCGGAAUUAUUGGGCGUAAAGAGCUUGUAGGCGGUUUGUCGCGUCGAUAGUGCAAACUCAGUGCUUAACGCUGAGCCUGCUGUUGAUACGGGCAGACUAGAGGAAGGUAGGGGAGAAUGGAAUUCCCGGUGGAGCGGUGGAAUGCGCAGAUAUCGGGAGGAACACCGGUGGCGAAGGCGGUUCUCUGGGCCUUUCCUGACGCUGAGAAGCGAAAGCGUGGGGAGCGAACAGA
rnacentral:rRNA from 1 species